rnacentral:tRNA from 1 species
AGGGAUAUUGCUCAGUGGUAGAGCCCACGCUUAGCAUGCACGAAGUCCUGGGUUCAAUCCCCAGUACCUCUG